UACAGAGGGUGCUAGCGUUGUUCGGAAUUACUGGGCGUAAAGGGCUCGUAGGCGGCCAACUAAGUCGGAUGUGAAAUCCCCAGGCUCAACCUGGGAACUGCAUCCGAUACUGGAUGGCUUGAAUUCGGGAGAGGGAUGCAGAAUUCCAGGUGUAGCGGUGAAAUGCGUAGAUAUCUGGAGGAAUACUGGUGGCGAAGGCGGCAUCCUGGACCGACAUUGACGCUGAGGAGCGAAAGCCAGGGGAGCAAACGGG
rnacentral:rRNA from 1 species